rnacentral:rRNA from 1 species
AUCGAACGCUGGCGGCAGGCCUAACACAUGCAUGUCGAACGGAGCGGCGGACGAGUGAGUAAUGCCUAUGAAUUUGCCUGGUAGUGGGGGAUCACGUUCGGAAUCGGGCUCCUAUACCGCUUACUAUCAGAGCCGCUUAGGUUGUCUUUGCUAGAUGGUGGGGUAAUGGCCUACCAAGGCGACGAUCCGUAGCUGGUCUGAGUGGAGGAUAAGUCACAAUGGAACUGAGACACGGUCCAGACUCCGACAGGAGGCAGCAGUGGGGAAUAUUGGACAAUGGACGAAAGCCUGAUCCAGCCAUGCCGAGUGUGUGAAGAAGGUCUUCGGAUUGUAAAGCACUUUAAGUUAGGAGGCGUUACCAACAGAAUAAGCACCGGCUAACUUCGUGCCAGCAGCCGCGGUAAUAC